rnacentral:lncRNA from 1 species
AAUCACCAAAUCAGAAGUCCGUGUUUAGUUUGUUUUUUUCUCUCCAAUCAACCAAUCAAAAAUGCCAAACCCCAAAGUGUUCUUCGACAUGACCGUCGGCGGUCAGCCGGCCGGCAGGAUCGUGAUGGAGCUCUUCGCCGAUGUCACCCCCCGAACCGCCGAGAACUUCCGCGCCCUCUGCACCGGCGAGAAAGGCAUCGGCAAGUCCGGCAAGCCUCUCCACUACAAAGGCUCGUCCUUCCACCGUGUGAUCCCCGGAUUCAUGUGCCAGGGGGGAGACUUCACCGCCGGAAACGGAACCGGAGGCGAAUCAAUCUACGGCUCGAAAUUCGCCGAUGAGAACUUCGUGAAGAAGCACACCGGCCCCGGAAUCCUCUCCAUGGCGAAUGCCGGACCCGGAACCAACGGAUCUCAGUUCUUCGUCUGUACGGCCAAGACCGAGUGGCUCGAUGGGAAGCACGUUGUGUUCGGUCAGGUCGUCGAAGGGAUGGACGUCGUCAAGGCCAUCGAGAAAGUGGGGUCCAGCUCCGGCAGGACCAACAAGCCCGUCGUGAUCGCUGAUUGCGGUCAAUUGUCUUAGAUUUGAUCAUGAUAAUGAUCGCCAUCAUCACGAGCCGUCUGAUCGCGAUCGUGAUGAUGAUUAUGUUAUCUAUUAUUAUGUGGGCGUGUCUGUAGGACUUUUAAUCUUUAUCUAAUUUUCCUGCUAUGUUACUUGUUCGGGUCGGAUCGGGUCUCCGGUGGUGGUUCUUGAUGAACUGUUUUUUAUGUCUUUCUAUGAGCUGCCUUUUUAAAUAAGAUAGGGCUUGUCUUGUUAUAUUACGUAUCCUUUUUUAUGUUUUUUAAUUUCAUGUGCUUUUUUUUUCUUGAAUCGGCGGGAAUCCGAUGGCGGAAUUGCCGAUAAAUCGGGUAGAGGUUGGAUAAUUAUCGAUAUGGAUCUGCAAAAUAUCUGACAUACGAAAUAAAAAAAAAAAAAGGAAAUUUGAAAAAUUAGCGUGGAAUAUCCUUCGGAAUGUUCUUCUCUUGGACUGAGAUUUUUGUGAGAUAGUGAUUUUGCUGGAGAGGGCACGGGGGUCGGACUUUGAUCUGGGCCUUAAUAGGCCCAAUUUUACCAGUUUCAACUCGUGUCGGCUCCCCAUAAGCCUAAUCUUUCACUGAGACGAAUAUGAAUUGGACUUUGAUCUGGGCCUUAAUGGGCCCAAUUAUACCAGUUUCAACUCCUGUCUUCUCCCUAUAAGCCUAAUAUUUCACUGAGACGAAUAUGAAUUUGGAAUUGGAGAAUUGCUGCCAUUCGUCAUAUCUAUUCUUUCUCCCACUCUGUGAUCCGAUGAGAGGAAUCUUGGCCUACUUUUGUUGCCGCGUCGUCCAGUCAUCAAGAAAUUCUCGCACUACACAUAUAGUUAUAAUCACAACUUAACACGGAUCGACAUGACGUAGCUGUGUUUUGGCCAAUUUUAAAAGUUACAACAGAUCAAUUUUAAUUUUUAAACUAACGAAAUUGAAUCAGGCCCCAAAAAAAAAAAAAAACCCUCACAAAAAAAAGCCCAAAAAUAAAAGAAGAAAAAGCGUGCAUGGUUGUUGCUUUUUAGCACCAUAAAUACCGGGUAAACAGAUCAAAUUAGAAGACCAAUCACUUCUGCUGUGUGUUUUGUCAAUAAUGAAAUUUGGUAUCUCAUUUUUGCCAAUUAUGCUAUAUAUUUUUUUUUGUGUUGGGCGCAAUUUAUCAUUUAUUAUGAUAUAAUCAUAUUUUCUCCAAAGAACAAUUUCUUGUAGGAGACACUUCUUAUAUCGCCCGCGUAUAUAAAUUUGAAGUUGUAAGCUUCCUUACCAAUGGCACUUGCUAUCAUGUAGCCGAAUUUGAUGAUAGCAGGAAAUUUCCUGUAAACUCCAUUUCCCUCUCAUUUUCAAAGAUAAUUUUCUGCUUCCUUACGCAUUCUAUAAAUUAUAAACAAUAUAUAAUACAUUGUUUCUUCACGAUGGUCGUAUUGCUUGGUAGAAUACGGCUGAUUUAGUAUAAGGAUGACAACGUGGCGGAGUAAUUGGGUAGACCAUCUCGAUUACCCACCCCCAUUAGAAUAGAUUUCAUUCUCUAAUGGGGAUAGAAAAUCUUUGUGUAAGAUAAGUUAUCCAUCCCACCGUCUUCUCAUUUGCUUAUUUUAUUGUUGAUUUUUAUAUAUAAUUUUGGUGAAAAGAAAAUUAAAAUGACUAAAAUAAAACCACCACCAACAUAUUGUAAAAUAUUUAAAUUAUUAAAAAUAAAAAAUAAUCCAAUUGAAAUAAUAUCUUAAACUAUAUAAAAAUAUAAAAUAUUUAGACGGUAGAGAUAGGGUAAGAUGUAUAAAGCCAAAUUUCAAUCUAUAAAUUAUUUAUAAAUUAUUUUUUUCUUACUUUUAGAAAAAUCAUUAAAAUUUAUCUCAUUUGAGGUAGGAUUUCAUGGAGCAUUUUGCUAUCCUUUUUAAUACAAGAACAAUGCUAUCCUUUUUAAUACAAGAACAACUCAUGCUUGUGAACAAAUAAUUCACAAUUGUGAAGACACAUGGAUUUCAUGGCGCCAAAGUUCCAAUAUUUCGAAAUGGGCACUACUAUGUUUGGUCCACACACAGAGAGCGGGAUGAUUCUUCUUCCCUGGUAAUAUUUGAGAUUAUUUCUUACUUUAGAAUUAGGGCCGGCUUUAGAGUCUGAGGGGCUUUAGGCAAAAUUUUCUUAUGAGUCCUCUAUUUAUUUUGUAAUUUCAAUACUCAAAGACAUAUAAAAAGAAUUAAAAUUUAUUUCAUCUUUAAUUUUUGAAUUUCAAUAAUAAUAAAAAAAGAUCAAAAAUUUUACAAAUAAAACCUAAAAAAUAGUCAAGAAGGUAUUUUUUUUAUUCCAUUAAAACCGUUAAAAACAAACAGACAAAUAAAUAAAAACAAUAUUUUUUUCAAAUAGAAUAUUUAAAAUGAUAGAGUACAAAAUUUUGAAAUGAUGAAUUGAUGUUCAAAAACAAAAAUGGACUUUAUAUUUUAAGAAACUAAUUAUUUUACAUGAACCAAUGAAUAUAAUGAUUUUCUUUGUAUAGAAAAGAAUAAGAAAUUUUUUUCAUUUACUAAUUCUUGAGAUUAUAAGGUUUUUAAUAGAAAUUAAAAGAAAUACUAAAAAUCAAAGAUUCUAACAUUGAAUAAUUAAAAAGGUAAAUAAUUUUUUGGAAAUAAUAAUAAAGAAUCAACUAAUGGUUAAAUAAUAUUAUUAAUUAUAUUUCUUUAAAAUUAAGGUUUCCAAAAAUAGAUUUUUUUUAUCAAAAAUAACUCUUAAUUCUUAAAAUAUGUAUUAAAAAAAUUUAUUAAUUAGAGAAUUAUUAAGAAAAUAUUAAAAAAAUGAGACCUUCUUAAAAUAUGAGGCCUUAGGCGACUGUCUUACUCGCCUAUACCUAAAGCCACCCCUGUUUAGAACGAAAAAGAUAGUGAUAUUAAAUUUGUUACUAUAUUCUCUCUUAAAAAAAAAAAAAAGAGUAAGAAGCCAAUGAAUGGCGCUUGUGAAGAUUAUUAGUAUGCCCCUCUUUCAAUUAUUUGUUUAGUACAAUGAUGAUUACUCACUCAAAUCACUUUUUUCAUCAAAACACGGAUAAAGAAAGAAAGAAAAUCACUUUUGCUUUGCAUCUAAUACCUCUCUAUCUAACCACUUGGGCUUAGGGCUAAGCCCAAGUGGCUAGAGCUACUCAUUCAUAAAUGUGAGGGAAGCGGUUCGAGCCUCCGUAAACGUAUUGCAGGAGUUUAAUUUAAAUUUUCUUUUUUGGAGUCUCAGAGCUUGAGUGAAGACAGUCUUUCUCUCAGGAUGGGAGUUGAUGUUCCUCGAAUAUUUGAGAAGGUUUUAAAAUCUGAGCGGUGUCAUAUCAAAAUUGAUGUAAACGGGUCUCAAUAUUUAUAUGAUUGUAAAUAUCAUGAGCAAUAGUUCUCAUUCAAAAAAAAAAAAAAAAAAACCUCUCUAUCUCUUUACCUACGUAUUUUCAGCAAGGAUAAUGAUAUAAUCAAUUCCUUUCCGCCGCAUAAGCUGUCAACUUGAAGUAUAUAAGUGCAUUUGUACAAUUAUUUUUAUUUGGAAAGUGAUGUUAUAAAUUCCAAGCAACUUUAUUUUGGGUUUCUUAGCUUAAAUUCUUCUAAAUUUUUAAAUUAUCUUGUAUCAUUUAUUUAUUAUUAAUGAAAUGUAUUGAUGAAAUUUAACUACCUCUGAGUGGGGAAUUAUAGUUUGUCCAGUACAGAAUCUUUUUAAUUUCGUUUUCCUUCUUUUUCUUUCUAAAAGUGAAAGCUGCCAUGUUGACUAACAUUAUAUUCUUGUUUAUUUUUGAAGUAUUUAUAUAUUAUUAUUUGUUAAGGAAACAAGAAGACAAAAAUGAGAAAAAUAAAAAAAAAUAUAAUCAUUAAAUGGGCAGCUUGAAUUGGAGGAUUAUAUAAACAUCAAAUGGGCAUCUUAUAUUGCAGGAUUUGUGGAAUUCAAUAAUGCGGAUGUUAUUAUUAUUUGAAAGUUUUUUUAGAAAUAAUAAAAAUGUAAUUCUUUUUAUUUUUGUGGCGGAGAUUAAAAUAAUUCCUAUGAAUUCGACAGAUCGUAUUUGUACACCGUCCAAUGAGAUUUAAACUCACUCAGUCAGGUGUAUUUAAUUGAUUAAAAUUAAAUAAAUACUCAGACCAGUCAGUUUGAGUUUAGUACGUAACUACGUAUGACGAUUUUUGUACGAUUCCUCUAAGUAUCAUAAAUAUGCUCAAUUUUAAACCCAAACAAAUGGCGCCGUUCCCACUGACAACGACAUAUCCAAAACUAAAAACACCUAGCCUCAGCUUAAGGGUGUUCAUAAUCUAAUCCGAUCAAUUCAAUCUGUCUGAUCCGUAUAAAUUCGAUCCGUGGAUCCGUGAAUUGGAUAUGGAUUAAAAUUUUAAAAAUCCGCAGUCGAUGGAUUGGAUAUGGAUUUACUGGUACAAAUCUGUAAAAAUUCGUGAAUCCGCAAUAUAUAUAUGAAACACAUCCAUUAUCUUAUUUCCUUCUGGUAUCAGAGCCAAAGGAAGGAAAGUGUUGUAUAGUUUAGAGUCUCUGUGUCUAAAGACUUGUGUUUUAUUUUAAUUCUUGUUUGUGUGGUGAAUUCCUUACUGGUAGUCAGUCCCGCUUUAGGAUAAGAUUUUCCGCUUAGGGCAGUAAAACCAAACCUGUAACCAUACCAACAAGUCUUUGAGUAGACCAUAGGUUUUGAUCCAUGGAUUCUCUACUCUGUAGAGCAUCGUCCUUUUCUAGCUUUUCUUCUGGAAGAACUAGCGAUUCAAAGAAUGUUGUGAAUUCUGAAGAAUUUGUUAUCGAAGACUUCAAUAAAGCAAUUGAUAAUUGUGAAUUACCAAAGGUGAAUAAAGAAAUGAUUUACAAAACAAAAAUCCUUGAUUUUUUAAAAAACAUAAAGACCGAAGAACGUGACAUAACCCUUUCAGAACCUUUUGAAACAAUUCAUUUGUUUUCAUAACAGUCUUUAAAGAAAUUAAAAGAUAAAAAUUUUAAUUAUAUUCACAUCGAACUAAUACAAGUCGGCAUAAAACCUCUAACAAAAGAAGGUCUUGAUACGUCUAUUCUGGCUGUCCUGAGAAAUGUUCGUUUCAUCUCCUUUGAUGAUUCUUUACUAAGUAGUAUAGAAUCAAGUCUUUGUAAAGGUCCCAUUUCAUUCAAUUGUUAUCCCAACAUAACAAUUUCUUUAAAAGACAAGAACAUUUUAAAAAGUAUGAUUUUACAAAUCAAGACCCAUAAUUAUCACAUGAUAAAAGGAUCUGUCCCAGUUGCUUUAAUCUUUAAAAUUUCUUAUAAAGCCAUGAUUUCUGCGUUUAGCACGCAACAUAAAUUCCAGUCAAAAAGAGACGAGACUCUCCUUUUACAAACUGAUCUGUCCAAAGCAAAUACUGUCAUUCCAAAACCAAUACAAUGGAAAGAUAUCAAUCUUCCAGAUGAAUGGAUUUUUGAAGGUGCCACUGCACCAGUGAUUCCGAAACAACAUGAGCAAAGACAGGAAGAGAAUGACCCUUCUCCUCCAACUUCUCCUACGUUUUCUACUGUCACAGAAAAUGUAAUAAAUGUCAUAACGAAAGACUUUGAGCUGAAUAAAACUCUUCUUCACAAUGAUUUUUAUUAAGAUAAUAAUAAAGAAAAAUGACUCUGGUUUUUUAAACAUUUUCUAAAUCAAAGAAAAGAAAUUCAAGAGACAUAUUAUGCAUUUGUAAAUUCUCAAAAAAUUCAUAUAUUGUUUUUUGAUUGGUUUGAGAUAUAUUCUUCCAAUAACAACAUCUCUUAUCCUUUUAAAGAGUCAAACCCUAUUACUGUUAGGAAGAAAACCCCUGAGUGGAAUCUUUCUGAUAGCAAUAGAACCAUAGAAUCUGAACAUCCACAUCUUAGGAGUUUAACUAUUAACCAUGGUGAACCUCCUAUUGAGAUUAGAGCCUCACCUUACAAAAUCCCAAAACCAAAUGAUUCUGAUGCGAAUUUAAGUAGUAUUAUUCAACAGAAUAAUUUUUGUAAUACUAACUUAAAUACUAUAGGAAAACAAUUGACUAGGAUAGAGAGCCAGUUCCAAAAGCCAACCAUAAAAGUUUCUCUUGUUUCAUCAAAAUCGGAUUCUGACAAAAAGCUUAAGGAACCUAUUUUCAAACCUUUCCAGGUUUCGAAAACUAGCCAAAAGCUUGUUCAAGAGUCAAAAUCAGAUUUUGCUAAAGCCAUUAGAGACCAAUUAGAUAGAAUAGAAGCUUCCUCUUCUUCUUUUUCUUCUAAGGUCCAAAUAGCCCCUGAUAGUGCCUAAUCCAGCAAGAUUGGUGUACUAGAGCAUGACGAUGUUUCUAUAGUCUCUUCAGACAUAGAAACAUUUAAAGAAAAACCUUAUGAUCCUCAUGCUAACAAAAUCCAUUGGGAUUUAGCCCUACCUACUGUCAAGACUCCACCAGAUCUAGCUAUAAAUAAUAGACCAAGUGCUUUAAAUCAAUCACGAUUUAAUGCAUCUUCUGUCUAUGAGUGGAAUAUUGAUGGUAUGUCUGAAUACAACAUUCUAGGAUUGUUGCAACAAAUGACCAUGGCAGCCAAUGCCUAUAAAACACAGACGGGAACUUCGGAUAGAGCCAUUGCAGAAAUUCUCGUUGCUGGUUUUACUGGUCAACUUAAAGGAUGGUGGGAUCAUCUCCUUACCAAACAACAACAAUUAGAUAUCCUAAACUCCAUUCAAGUUGAUGAGAAUAAUGUCCCUAUUCUUGAUGAGUUCAAUAGUCCAAUUCAGGAUGCUGUAGCUACCCUGAUUCUGACUAUAUCCCUCCAUUUCAUAGGUGACCCUUCUCACCUUAGAGACAAAAACGCCGAGUUACUACACAACCUGAGGUGUAGAAAACUUAGUGAAUUCCAAAGUUAUAAAACCACUUUCUUCACCAGACUCUUCCUUAGGGAUGAUUCAAAUCAUAUAACUUGGAAAGAGAAAUUCCUUGCAGGUUUACCUACCCUACUAGGAGAAAAGGUUAGGAAUUCCAUUAAAGCUCUUUAUGAUAACCGAAUUCCUUAUGAUGAGCUCACCUAUGGUGAACUUGUUAGUUUUGUCAAUAAGGAAGGCUUAAAGAUUUGUCAAGAUUUGAAGAUACAGAAACGUCUAAAAUGGGAGCUUAAGAAGUCUAAGCAAGAAUUAGGCAGUUUCUGUAAACAAUUCAAUUAUGACCCCUUUAAGACUUCUACUUCCAAAGAUUGUAAUGGUAAGUGUUCUACAAAACCUUACAAGAAACAUUACAAAUCUAGAUUUCAUAAGAAACCCUUUCAAGACUUUAGAGAACUUCCUUAUAAGAAACAUUCGAGGCCUUAUAAGAAACCCAGCUUCUCUAAAAAGAAAGAGUUUAGAGCCAAACCAAAAAUCUCGUUUAAUUAUAAAGAAGCCACAUGUUACAAAUGUGGAAAGAAAGGCCAUACUGCAAAGUUUUGCAGAAUGAACAGAAAGCUCCAUGAGCUUGAUCUUGAUGAAGAAACCUCUCCAAAGUUGCCUCUUUGCUUAUAGAGUCUUCUGACUCUGAGUCUUCCAUGACGGGAUAUAGUGAACCUCUACAAGUUGAUGAGUUAAAUGACUCUGAAUUUGUUUCUUUGAGUGACUCCGACACCAGCAAUUCAGAUUCCUAUUUAAAGAAAAUCAAUGUUUUCACUAAAGACCAAGAAAUUUUUCUUGAACUUGUUAAACAUAUCACUGCUCCGAAUCUUCAGAAAGAAUACCUUGAUAAACUUUUAAAGACCUUAGAUUCUAAUAAAGCAGAAACUUCUAAAGUUCCAAUUGUUAAAAAGAACUCUUAUGACCUUACUGAGAUUUUGGACAAAAAGAAAACAAAGAAAAUUAUCCCCAAUAUCCAAGAUCUUCAGAAAGAGAUCAAAGAAAUCAAACUUGAGAUUAAAGAAUUAAAAGAAAAACUAAAGAAUGAUUCUGAUACUAUCCAACUUCUCAUACAAAAACAAUUAGAAGAUAAUUCUGAUAAAGAAGCCAAAACUGAUGGUGACAAUGAACAAAACCUUGAAAACAUUGAAUCUGCACCUAAUGAUUUCCUAUUUGUUUUAAAACAAAUCACCACCAGAAAGUAUUUGAUGAAAAUCACUUUAAUUUUUUCUAAAGAUUUUGAAAUUGACACCAUUGCCCUCUUUGACACUGGUGCCGAUUUGAAUUGCAUUAAAAAAGAUAUUGUCCCUAAAAAAUUCCAUGAAAAGACAAAUGAAAGACUCUCGGCCGCCAAUAAUUCAAAACUAAAAAUUAAGUCAAAAGUAGACGCCUCAGUGCAUAACAAUGGUUUUGAAUUCAGAACUUCUUUUCUUCUUACAAAUCACAUACACCAUACUGUCAUUUUAGGAACCCCAUUUAUAAAUUUAAUUACCCCAUAUACUGUCAAUUAUGAUAGCAUAUCUUUUAAAGCAAAAUCCAAAAAGCUUGUUUUUUAUCUUUUAAAGCAAAAUCCAAAAAGUUUGUUUUCUCUUUUAUUGAAAAACCAAAAACGAGAAAUCUAAAUAUUGUUAAAGCUUGUUCUGUUUACCAGAACCAAAUCAAUGCCAUACUUAAAUCUAAACAAAAUAACUUUUUUUGCUUAAAAAAUGAUUUAAGUUUACAAAGAAUUGAAAGCCAAUUACAAAAUGACUUUAUACAAAGGAAAAUCUCUGAUUUUAAAAAUCUCAUUGAAAAAGAAAUAUGCGCCGAUUUACCAUCUGCUUUUUGGGAAAGAAAACAACAUUUGGUAGAUUUGCCCUAUGACAAUUCUUUUGAUGAAAAACAAAUACCCACUAAAGCUCGUUCAAUCCAAAUGAACAUGGAAUUAGAACAACAUUGUAAAAAUGAGAUAAAAGAUUUAGAAACCAAAGGACUCAUUGUAAAGUCCAGAUCCCCAUGGUCUUGUGCCGCUUUUUAUGUUAAUAAAAACUCCGAAAUAGAAAGAGGAACACCAAGACUUGUAAUAAAUUACAAACCUUUAAAUAAAACAUUAAAAUGGAUUAGAUAUCCUAUACCUAAUAAAAACGAUUUACUCCAGAAAUUAUGUUCAGCUUUUAUUUUUUCAAAAUUUGACAUGAAAUCGGGUUUUUGGCAAAUCCAAAUCCACCCUAAUGACCGCUAUAAAACUGCCUUUACCGUUCCUUUUGGACAAUAUGAGUAGACUGUAAUGCCAUUCGGUUUAAAGAAUGCACCAUCAGAGUUUCAAAGAAUCAUGAAUGACAUCUAUAACCCUUAUUCUGAGUUUUGCAUUGUUUAUAUAGAUGACGUGUUGAUUUUUUCUCAAACAAUUGAUCAACAUUUCAAGCAUUUAAAAACCUUUUAUUUUGCCACUAAGAAGGCUGGCCUAGCCCUUUCUAGUUCUAAAGUUUCAUUGUUCCAAACAAAAGUCAGAUUCCUUGGUCACUAUAUUUCUAAAGGAACUAUCACCCCUAUUGAACGAUCACUUUUGUUUGCGGAUAAAUUUCCUGACAAAAUUCUUGAUAAAACCCAACUACAAAGAUUUUUAGGAAGUCUAAAUUAUGUUCUUGAUUUCUGUCCUAAUAUUACCCGGAUGUCUAAACCUUUGCAUGACAGAUUAAAAAAGAAUCAUGUUGCAUGGACAGAUGAACACACCAAAGCUGUCUGAUUGAUAAAAAAUUCUGUAAAGAAUAUUCUUUGUUUAUUCUUGGCAAAUCCUGCAUUACCUAAAAUAGUUGAAACAGAUGCAUCUGAUUUAUGCUAUGGAGGUAUACUAAAACAAAAAGAGAAUGAUAAAGAACGGAUAGUACAAUAUGUUUCUGCACAUUGGAAUGAUUGGCAGAAAAAUUAUUCUACUAUAAAAAAAGAAAUUCUUUCUAUUGUUUUAUGCAUAUCUAAAUUCCAAAGUGAUUUAUUAAAUCAAAAAUUUCUGCUUAGAAUUUAUUGCAAAGCUGCAAAACAUGUUUUGGAAAAAAAUGUUCAAAAUAUUGCUUCAAAACAAAUUUUUGCAAGAUGGAAAGCCAUUUUAAGUGUUUUUGAUUUCAAUAUUGAAUUUAUUAAAGGAGAUAAAAAUUAUGUCCUUGAUUUUCUAACCAGAGAAUUUCUCCAAAACAGAUAAUGCCGCCAAGAAAGAAGGAAAAAGGUAAAGCUGUUCUUAAAGACUCUGAGUCUCAAGCAACCUCUAAAGAACCUCAUUCAACCCCUUCUAAAGAAAAAUUGCUUUCUUCUGCCAUGCUCAUCAAAUCCUGGAUUGAAAUGGUUGAAGAACAAGAAGCCCAAUACAAAGCAAUUACCUCUGAUGACCAAGUAAAACAAUGGAUGAGUUCCAUUACAAAAUCCCCUGAGCUUAUGCUCGCUCUACAAAGCUUUUCCCAAAGCCAAAUUUCUCCUAAAGAAGAGAUCGAAAAAGAAAAACUUGUUUCCAAAGAGAUUUCAAAACCCUCUUCUCAAAAUGUAGUUGUCUCUGGUGAAAGUUCAUCUUCUCAAAUUGUGCUUUCCCAGCCAACGCUUUCAAAGAAAUCUUCCGAUUGGUUUGAUAAAACCCACUUCCAAAAUAUUUUAUCUAUGGAAGAUGGUUUUUACCAUGCUGAUCCUUUUCAAGCUAUUUCAAAGUUUUUUCCUAAAGGCUGGUUUUUCAAACCAUGGGAUCUUACAAAACCCCAGUCUUACUAUCAAAGCAUUUUAGAAGCCACUGAGUCAGUAAAAUUCAAACAUUUCUUUCUUAGUGAAACCCAUUCAGAGCCAGCCUAUUCUACAGCUACUAUCCUAAAAGUCUUGAGCCCAAACCAGUGGGGUGAUCAACUUCACAAACAAAAAACCUUCCCUCCAAAUUUUCAAAUGUGUUUACCACAUUGUUUGACUUAUUCCUAUUGGGAUUACCAACAAGCCUGGUAUAACACAUUUUUUAUCCAAAACCCCAAAAAAUCUCACUCUUGGUUAUUUUUCUUCAAUUCAAAAAUAACUGUUCAAAGCCUCCCAAACUGGUUUCAACAUUGGUGGAAUUCUUUUGGCCCAAUCCCUCAGAUCCUAACUCCAAAUGCCACCCAUUGUUUAAACCUCUUUAAAACCCACUAUAUUCCUUCUGAAUCCGAGAAAAGGUUUCCCCCAUUUCUCUGUUUCUAUACAAAUUUCUUCCUUCCAAGGGUAUGGAUGUGGAACCUCAGAUUUCAUACUCAAGAUGCCCAGCUCAUCUUACAAAGGACAUUCAAAGUAAAAUGGUGGUCAAAGUUUGACGAACAGUCUAAAUUGACAGACACCCUGAUCCGCAAUUGGCUCUGUUCUAAAGGCUUCUUAUCCCUAUCUAUUAAAGCCGUGAAAGCCCAAGAGACCUUUCUAACCCAAAAAUCCAAAGCCCAAUCUCUGUUGGCCAGUGCCAAAUCUGAAGAAGAAUAUUUUAAAGUCAUGGAGCAGCUCCUCACUUCAAGAUCAAAAUCCUCAGUUGCAGACUCCUCGGAUGAUGAUCAAGAUGAAGAGCCCUUUAUCUCUCUUGGAGAUGAAAAUGAAGACGACUGCUUUGGAAUUUUCUCUCCAAUAAAGCAUUGUAAAUAAUUGUCAUGUAUGUUUAAAAAAAAAAAGAAAAAAAAAGAGUAUUCCAGUAUUUUUCCUUGUAUUUUCCAUUUUUGUUCGUUUGUUUGUACCCUCGGGUGGUCCCCUGGACACAAGUGAGAGCGCACAUGUCUCUUCACCCGAAUUAAAAUUAGAAAAGACUAUAUGUUCCAAAGAUUACUGUUUCAAGCAAGCUCCGCUACAGUAGAGAAGCUACAGGCCAGCUACAGUUAAAAAAAAAAAUUUUGUAUUUAAAUCGAGAGGAAGACUUAGACUCCUCAGAUUUUUCAGAUCUAAUUUUCUUUCUCUUCUUCUUCUCCCUCUCUCUCUCUCUCUUGGGAAGUCUGGAUCAAGACAUCAAGGAAACCUUUCCUGUCUUGUAAUCUUCCCACCUUUCAAUCUUUCUUCUUGAAGAGAUCUGUAAAAUUGUACAAAGGGUUGAGUUCAAAGAAAUAAAGCAAACAUGUAUGUUUAAUUCGUUCUUUAAAUUUUUAUUUAAAGCUUUGAUGUAUAUUUAAAGUUCUGCAUUUUAAUUUCCGCAAUUUAAUUUAAAGCAUUUAAAUUUCAGUAAUUUAAAUUUUAUGCAUAUUUUGCAGACUGGUCUGUAUUAGCUCUGUCAUAAAACUGCUACAUUCCUCUGAGGCAACGAGACCUGAUCUCUAUCCUCAGUUGUAUCUUCUCUUCUCCCUCCAUUCAUUCAGAGUGCUUUUUCUGGGAUCCAGAUCUAGUACUAUAUAUGAGCCUUUAGAUCUGUUGCUAGGCUUGUUUAAAGAACCUAAUUCAUAUCUGGUAAAGAAACAUAGUAUAUCGGCUGGAAAACAGAACGUGCGUGAUAUUGAUAUGUUCUAAGUCAGACAAUCGCGAAUUUAUUUCUUUGUUUAUAAUUUCUUUCUUAAAACACAUCCAUCCUUCGAUCCUAUUUCCUUCUGGUAUCAGAGCCUGGUACUUCUAUACCAGACGACUGCUUUGGAAGUUUCUNNNNNNNNNNNNNNNNNNNNNNNNNNNNNNNNNNNNNNNNNNNNNNNNNNNNNNNNNNNNNNNNNNNNNNNNNNNNNNNNNNNNNNNNNNNNNNNNNNNNNNNNNNNNNNNNNNNNNNNNNNNNNNNNNNNNNNNNNNNNNNNNNNNNNNNNNNNNNNNNNNNNNNNNNNNNNNNNNNNNNNNNNNNNNNNNNNNNNNNNNNNNNNNNNNNNNNNNNNNNNNNNNNNNNNNNNGUUUUUAUAUCUGCUGUACGGCCAAGGCGGAUGUACGGUACAGCAGUUAAUUAAAAAAUUUAUAAAUGUAACAUUACAUAGUUACAUAAGCACUAUAACAUAUCUUAGCCAUUACCCAAUAAUAAUAUUAAAUAAAAAAUAAUUAAAAAAUCAAAUAUACAAUAUAACUUAUAAAAAUUAGAAAACAAAAUAAAAAGCAAAGUCACACGCACUAGCAACAUCAAAGUAACAUAAUGGCAAGUUACCAACAAUUUGUAAAAUCACCCAAAAGUAAAGUAACAUAACGCCAUGAUGAGAACCAUCAAGGGAAUACCAUUAAAGUUUCAAGUGAUCAUUUGCAUAUUCAUGGAGGCCCAAUUACAAGGGUUAGAGCCAAAAAGAUGCAAACCGCUUUAAAUGGAUUAAUUGAGAAAAUAUGGAUUGAAAAUAAAAUUCAAGAUGCAAGACAUUAUGAAUUGGGCUUGAAGAGAAGACAAGGCAUUGUAGGCAUUAUUCAAGUUAUUGGGCAGCCAAAUACACAAUUUGUAUCAAAUGCAAAAAUGUCAAAUUCGGAAUAAAACUGGUAUUGAUUGAGGCAGAAGUAAUGUGCAAGCUAUAUACCAUUGGAAAAAUAAUUAAGUUAGCUUUCCAAUGCAUUUUACAGAGCUAGAUUUGGAGUUCUCUAAAAGGAGUUAUGACCAAUUCAUUAAAGUUUAUUCAGACUUGAGAUUUUCAACGACUCAUUCGUUUUUUAACUACAUUUCUUUAUUUUGUUUCAAGUUUGUCAAUGUAUAAGGUAAGUCUACCAUAAAUGAUGGUGGGCUAACAUUAAAUUUUUCAAUGAUAGCAUUAAUUAUAGUCGGCUAGCAUUAAAUUUGUCAAAGAUAACAUUAAUUAUGGUGGGUUGGUGAAGACUUUUGAAGCAUCCUUUGACAAACUUACUUUGAGGAUUGUUCCAAUGUUUCCAUUUGUAUUUUUAGGAUCUUGGGUUUCUUUUAGACUAUUUAAACUCAGCAACCUUACUAUGUAAUGGAAUUAGAGAUUAAUGUUAGUUGAAUUUGAAAGAUUAUUCUUUCUUUCGUUCUUUUGAGAACUAGUGAACUUAUCAAGAAUUUGUAUUCUUGUGGCGUUCCAAAUUUAGACUUAUUACUCACCUUCUCAUCUAUUUCUUAAGUGUGGCGUCAAUAUCAUUCUCUAUACCUUUGGUUCAUGUUUUCUUAUGCAUUGGGUCAAGAUUUUGUUUGUGUUAAAUCUAUUUAGAACUUUCCUGGGAAGUUGAAACUACAAAUUAAGUGUGGGUUUGAAAGUUUCAUUGUGGGAUUCGCAUUACGCCCAGUCACCAACAAUUUGCAAACAAAAAACCUUAAACUUUCCCGCCGUCACACGCACUAGCAACUCCUAAUACUGGUUCGAUACACUAUCGACACCAAUUUAAAGGACGUCGAUCGCGUGAUUCUAGCGAGAGCAAGCCAUCUUCGUCCCUGAGUCCAUCGAGCCACUUCCCAAUCACUGGUUCCAGCCAAACAAUUGCACUAUCACAACAUUCAAGAUCGCCACCCGUACUUCUCCUGGUUCCCAUCAUUGACGGCUCUGUAAUCACCACUUUUCGACAAGUGCAAUAGCCAUGGUGAAGGAUCAAACUGUGUUUGGUUUCAAAAAUUUCGCCAUUUCAAUUAAUUGUGGCUUUAUUUGAACAAUUAAUUUCGGUGUUAUAUCAAUGUAUUAUUGUAACUUUAUUUGAACAAUUAAUCUUAGUGUAUUAUAUUUUGAAACUUUAAACGUAUUAUUUUAGUUUUAUUUAAACAAUUAAUUUGUUUAAAUUUUAUUCAAUUUUAAAUUUAAUUGGUAGUAAAAUUAUUUUAUAUUAUAUAUUUUUUUAAUUUCAUUAGUUCAUGGAUUGAGGAGAACUAAAAAUUUUAAAUUCGAAAACUAAUGUGCUAAAGGUAGAUUAGAUAUCAAUUAAAUUAAAUCCGCAUCCGAUCCGCAAACGUAUAGAUUGGAUAUGGAUUGAGUCAAAUCUGUAUCCGAUUCGCAAAUGUAUGGAUUGGAUUUGGAUUGAGUUUAAUCAAUCCGUGAAUUUGAUUGAAUUGAAAAAUUAUAAUCCGUAAUAUUAUUGAUCAGAUAUAAAUUGAUGUCUAAUCCGUAAAAUCCGAUCCGCGAACACUCCUACCUCAGCCUGGGAUCCCUCACAUAACUCUAGUCAACCUUAACUCAACCUCAGUUACUUCCACCCCGCCCCACGAUAUCCCUCCACGUGUUCCCCCUCAACGGUCCAGAUUCACUUUUUGUUACUCCCCCACCGCUCCAUCCCCUAUUUAACUGCCCCAAAACCCUAAAAAAUUCGCCCAAAAAUCACCAAAUCAGAAAUCCGUGUUUAGUUUGUUUUUUUCUCUCCAAUCAACCAAUCAACCAAUCAAAAAUGGCAAACCCCAAAGUGUUCUUCGACAUGACCGUCGGCGGUCAGCCGGCCGGCCGGAUCGUGAUGGAACUCUUCGCCGACGUCACCCCCCGAACCGCCGAGAACUUCCGCGCCCUCUGCACCGGCGAGAAAGGCAUCGGCAAGUCCGGCAAGCCACUCCACUACAAGGGCUCGUCCUUCCACCGUGUGAUCCCCGGAUUCAUGUGCCAGGGGGGAGACUUCACCGCCGGAAACGGAACCGGAGGGGAAUCAAUCUACGGCUCAAAAUUCGCCGAU